AGCUUUGCGCAGUGGCAAUAUCGUAGCCAAUGAGGUGUACCCGAGGCGCAAUUAUUGCUAAUUGAAAAAAAAAAAGGAAACAG
rnacentral:snRNA from 1 species